rnacentral:rRNA from 1 species
AUUGAACGCUGGCGGCAGGCCUAACACAUGCAAGUCGAACGAGUGGCGGACGGGUGAGUUAUGUCUGGGAAACUGCUUGCUGGAGGGGGAUAAUUACUGGAAACGGUAGCUAAUAUCGCAUACCAUCGGAUGUGUCCCGAUGGGAUUAGCUAGUAGGUGGGGUAACGGCUCACCUAGGCGCCGAUACCUAGUUGGUCUGAGAGGAUGACCAGCCACACUGGAACUGAGACACGGUCCAGACUCCUACGGGAGGCAGCAGUGGGGAAUAUUGCACAAGGGGCGCAAGCCUGAUGCAGCCAUGGCGCGUGUAUGAAGAAGGCCUUCGGGUUGUAAAGUACUUUCAGCGGGGAGGCGUUACCCGCAGAAGAAGCACCGGCUAACUCCGUGCCAGCAGCCGCGGUAAUAC